rnacentral:rRNA from 1 species
UUAAGUCAGGAGCCGUCACAGGUGCUGCAUGGCUGUCGUCAGCUCGUGCCGUGAGGUGUAUGGUUAAGUCCUGCAACGAGCGCAACCCUCGUCGCUAGUUGAUUUCUCUAGCGAGACUGCCCCGCAAAACGGGAGGAAGGUGGGGAUGACGUCAAGUCAGCAUGGCCUUUAUAUCUUGGGCUACACACACGCUACAAUGGAUGGCACAAUAGGUUGCAACAGCGCGAGCUGAAGCUAAUCCCCAAAGCCAUCCUCAGUACAGAUUGCAGGCUGAAACCCGCCUGCAUGAAGUCGGAGUUGCUAGUAACCGCAAAUCAGCAUGUUGCGGUGAAUACGUUCUCGGGCCUU